CCUUUUAGCCCAGCCAUCUUUAUUCUGGCCAUUGUGCUUGCCUGCUGUGGCAACACCCGCCAAAAAGUUCCAUUUAAUUUCAUUUUACCGGCAUUAUUUGCUACAAAUAGUUCAUGCCCUAUUUGGAACACUGGUCUUUAGUAUAUAUCUUGUGGUGGAUAUGUGGCUCAUGCUUAGAGGAAAACAUCACUAUCCUGAAUCCUGAAGAUUGUGUAUUUGCAAAAGUCAAGACUUCAUUCAUUCCUUUGCCCUUCUGCAAAGACUGACAGAAAACCCAUCUCAUGCAGUAAUUACAGGGGAUCCAUCGCCUCCUUUCAGUGCAUAUCCUGUGUUCAGCUAACAGGACUAAAUGGUAAAUUGAUAUUCAGUUUUGCAUCUUCACUAGCUUCUCUACAUCUUUCAAAUUUCCAUAUCUGGCUGACCUGCAACAGUAACAGGGACAAUAAUUGUUAUGUUGUCUAAUAACUCAGAGUAGAUUAGAUUGUCUGCACAGUUUUCAGUAAAGUAACUAGCUACCCCUGUAUCUGUGUUUGACUUCCAUUCUUACCAACCCCUGUGAGCAUUAUUUUGGGAUGCCUGAUGUGUGCUGGGAAAGGGAGAGAGAAGGAGGAG
rnacentral:lncRNA from 1 species